UACGUAGGUGGCGAGCGUUGUCCGGAAUUACUGGGCGUAAAGGGCGCGUAGGCGGCUCUUUAAGUUAGAUGCGAAAACCCAGGGCUUAACUCUGGGACUGCAUUUAAAACUGAAGGGCUCGAGUGUAGGAGAGGUAAGUGGAAUUCCUAGUGUAGCGGUGAAAUGCGUAGAUAUUAGGAGGAACACCAGUGGCGAAGGCGACUUACUGGACUGUAACUGACGCUGAGGCGCGAAAGCGUGGGGAG
rnacentral:rRNA from 1 species